rnacentral:rRNA from 1 species
GACGAACGCUGGCGGCGUGCUUAACACAUGCAAGUCGAACGGUGAAAGCGGAGCUUGCUCCGCUGGAUCAGUGGCGAACGGGUGAGUAACACGUGGGCAACCUGCCCCUCACUUCGGGAUAACUCCGGGAAACCGGGGCUAAUACCGGAUAUGACCUCCUUGGGCAUCCUUGGAGGUGGACAGUUUUUCGGUGAGGGAUGGGCCCGCGGCCUAUCAGCUGGUUGGUGAGGUAGUGGCUCACCAAGGCGACGACGGGUAGCCGGCCUGAGAGGGCGACCGGCCACACUGGGACUGAGACACGGCCCAGACUCCUACGGGAGGCAGCAGUGGGGAAUAUUGCGCAAUGGGCGAAAGCCUGACGCAGCAACGCCGCGUGCGGGAUGACGGCCUUCGGGUUGUAAACCGCUUUCAGCAGGGAAGAAGCCGCAAGGUGACGGUACCUGCAGAAGAAGCACCGGCUAACUACGUGCCAGCAGCCGCCGUAA